rnacentral:rRNA from 1 species
CAAAGGUAGCGUAAUCACUUGUCUAUUAAUUGUAGACCUGUAUGAAAGGCAAAAUGAGGGUCUAACUGUCUCUUAUGGCAAAUCAAUUAAACUGAUCUCCUAGUACAAAAGCUAGAAUACCAACAUAAGACCAGAAGACCCUGUGAAGCUUUAAAAAACCUAUUAAAUCAAAUAAUAACUACUUUCGGUUGGGGCGACCUUGGAACAAAAAAGAACUUCCAACACAUGACUCCCUCAUAAAAUAGGCAAACAAGCCAACACCUGAUCCAGUACAACUGAUAAAUGAAACAAGUUACUCCAGGGAUAACAGCGCUAUCUUCUUCAAGAGCCCAUAUCAAAAAGAAGGUUUACGACCUCGAUGUUGGAUCAGGACACCCCAGUAAUGUACCCGUUACUAAAGGUUCGUUUGUUCAACGAUUAAUAGUCCUACGUGAUCUGAGUUCAAA